AUUGAACGCUGGCGGCAUGCUUUACACAUGCAAGUCGAACGGUAACAGGCCGCAAGGUGCUGACGAGUGGCGAACGGGUGAGUAAUGUAUCGGAACGUGCCCAGUCGUGGGGGAUAACGCAGCGAAAGCUGUGCUAAUACCGCAUACGAUCUGUGGAUGAAAGCGGGGGACCUUCGGGCCUCGCGCGAUUGGAGCGGCCGAUGUCAGAUUAGGUAGUUGGUGGGGUAAAGGCUCACCAAGCCGACGAUCUGUAGCUGGUCUGAGAGGACGACCAGCCACACUGGGACUGAGACACGGCCCAGACUCCUACGGGAGGCAGCAGUGGGGAAUUUUGGACAAUGGGCGCAAGCCUGAUCCAGCAAUGCCGCGUGCAGGAAGAAGGCCUUCGGGUUGUAAACUGCUUUUGUACGGAGCGAAAAGGCUCCCUCUAAUACAGGGGGCUCAUGACGGUACCGUAAGAAUAAGCACCGGCUAACUACGUGCCAGCCGCCGCGGUAACAC
rnacentral:rRNA from 1 species